AUAGUAUGUGAAUUGCAGAAUUCAGUGAAUCAUCGAAUCUUUGAACGCACCUUGCGCCCCUUGGUAUUCCGAGGGGCACGCCUGUUUGAGUGUCGUG
rnacentral:rRNA from 1 species